UACGUAGGGACCAAGCGUUGUUCGGAAUUACUGGGCGUAAAGCGUGUGUAGGCGGUCCUCUAAGUCGGAUGUGAAAUCCCUGGGCUCAACCCAGGAAGUGCACUCGAAACUGGAGGGCUAGAGUAUCGGAGAGGUUGGUGGAAUUCUCGGUGUAGAGGUGAAAUUCGUAGAUAUCGAGAGGAACACCGGUGGCGAAGGCGGCCAACUGGACGAAUACUGACGCUGAGACACGAAAGCGUGGGGAGCAAACAGG
rnacentral:rRNA from 1 species